CAUACUCUUUGUAUGUGUCCUGUUUCAGUGCAUUUUUUGUUAGAUUCACCUUUAAACCUGCAUUAGCCUGGUGCAUGGGAGCCUCUGCUGCAACCAGUUUACAUUUAGAAGUUACAAUUUUGUUUAUGCCCUCUUUCAUUCCUGACUGCAUCUGUAUUGUGUCUGUGUUUCCAUUGUUACAGCCAUUUCAACUGUUCUCUUAAAUUUAAGUUGUGCUUCAAUUAGGAGCCAUUUUUCAAGUGCUUUCCUGUAAGAUUCCACAAACUAAGUGAUGUUUAUGUGCAUCAUUAAGCCCAUUACUGAACUAACAAUGCUCAAACAACUUCCUCAAUUCAGCAACACAUAUACUAAAAUGGACUUCUCUUCCUAUUGAUUCUGCUUAUGAAACCUAAUUCAUUGCACAAACAACAAUGGUUUCAGUUCUAGAUGAUCCUGCGUUACUCUCACAUUAUCAGCAAAAUUUAUUUUGGCUGAUUUGAUAGGAGUAGUCAAACACAUAAGUGAACUGUAUGUCUUUAAUCCAAUGCUCUCAGCAAAAAUGGUACUUCUUUCUCAUUGGCUAUUCCAUUUGCUUUAAAAUUCUGCUCAAUCCAUUUUACAUGGAUAUCCAUUUAUCUGUGGUGUCAAUCAUUUUGAUGUAGCCAGCCAUUUCUGCUCUUUAUUUUUUAUGAUUAUUAUCAUUUGGUACUCACUGUUUAUGAACUCAUGAAUUCUUCCAUUAUCUUCCUUUUUUAACUCAACAGUCUCUUGUCCAUUCCCGAAGAUGUAUGUGCUGUGCUGCUGUUUUAUACUCGACUGUGUCUUGCUGCAGUUGACAGUCUCACAGAUGGACCACAGUAACACCAGCUGCUUCUCAAGCUCCAAAAUCAAGAUCUUGAGCUUUUCCAGCUGAUGGCAUGUCCUUAUCUCCGAAAUUCUCUCAAGGUAUGGAAUACCCAUUGCUUGGUUCUGAUGAGACCUACCAUGUCUUUACUUACUUGGAUUAAUUCAAUUAACAGGUAAAGAAUGUACUUAAAUGGCUAUUACAAGUAAUUUCUUGUAACAGUUUCUUGUUUUGCUUACCUCAAAUGAAAUUUUUUAAAAAGCAUUGUUCGUAUCUUAUUUCAGCCAAAUACAUUCACUCAUUGGGACUCUGCUUCUUGCACUUCUUUAACCAACAGCAUGGGGCUGACUACAACAGAUUGCUUUCUAAGAUGUUGUACCACUAGAGAAGACCUCAGUGAUGCUAAAGACAUACACAGGUGAAAAAGUGUCUCCCAAAGGCAAACUGAAGGUGAAUAUGAUGUAUGGAGGCCAAAUGCAGCAAUUAGAGCUUUAUAUAUUGAAAAGUUGAGGGCCAAUGCUUUUCGGACGUGGAUGAUUGAGAAGAAAUCCAACUAGACCAGCACUCAAUCAAGGCACUGGGUGUGGCAUCAACAGGCAACAGUAGACCAAACCAUAGCACUAACCAGAGACUGUCACAGCUGCUUAAUGCUAAUGAGAAGGUGCUUGAGAAGGGGAUCGGUAAACUCAAAGGCAUGAAGGCCAGAAUUGAAUUGAAUGAAGCAGCAACACCAGGGUUCCACAAAGUGCAUCCAGUGCGUUAUGCACUACAUCCGAAAGUGAAUACUGAACUACAGAGCUUGGAGGCAUCUGGAGUUCUCUCCAAGGUUAUCUGCAGGAAUUGGGCUGUACUCAUUGUCCCAGUGAUCAAGAAAGGGAAGGCUGGAGCCAUUCGCAUAUGUGGGGAUUUCAAGGUGAGCAUCAACCCGGUAUUGCGUUCUGUGCAGUAUCCCCUGCCACGAAUAAAACACAGUUUUGCAUCUUUGGCAGGUGGGGAGAAGUUUUCAAAGAUUGACUUGUUACAGGCGCAUCUGAAAAUGGAGAUUGAGGAGUCAAGCAGAAAGUUCCUCACAAUCAACACUCACAAGGGACUGUUCGAGUACAAACUUUAGCCUCACAUCAGCUCCAGCAAUUUUGCAAAGAGAAAUGGACCAAGCGCUAGAAGAUAUCUCAGGAAGACAACGUUACGUUGACAAAAUCAUUGUGACUGGCAAAAAUGAUGAAGAGCACCUCCAGAACCUUGGUAAA